AGAAGCAAAGUGCGCUUGUUCGGACAGUCCCGAAUCACGUGGCCAAAUCCUUUGCAACGAUGACACUGAAUAUCCCGUGUACGGCCCGUGGGAGGGGCAGCGCCUGUGGAAGGGGCAGCGCUUGCAGGUUUGGCCGUUCGCUCACGCGGUGUAGGGGUGGGCGUGGGUGGCGCAGGGAGAGCGGGUGCGGAGUUGGAUGUCGAGCUUCUCCCUGCAAAAGAGUUAGAAUAUGUCUUCG
rnacentral:lncRNA from 1 species